rnacentral:rRNA from 1 species
UACGUAGGGUGCAAGCGUUGUCCGGAAUUAUUGGGCGUAAAGAGCUCGUAGGCGGUGUGUCGCGUCGGCCGUGAAAACCUGCAGCUUAACUGUGGGCUUGCGGUCGAUACGGGCAUCACUGGAGUUCGGCAGGGGAGACUGGAAUUCCUGGUGUAGCGGUGAAAUGCGCAGAUAUCAGGAGGAACACCGGUAGCGAAGGCGGGUCUCUGGGCCGAUACUGACGCUGAGGAGCGAAAGCGUGGGGAGCGAACAGG